AAUUCUCAACUCCGAUCGAUAUUGUUUCGACCUCGGAGCUUGGACUUUGGAGCGUGCUGGCGUCGGUCGGCUCCUCUCAAAUGCAUCAGCGGAAUCUAACGUUUCGGACGUCAGUGUGAUAAUCACGUUGCGCUGUCGACCGAUCCUGAAAGCCCGCUCAUAAUGGUCUUCGGACAAACCCUUCAUCAA
rnacentral:misc_RNA from 1 species